GACGAACGCUGGCGGCGUGCUUAACACAUGCAAGUCGAACGGAAAGGCCCUGCUUUUGUGGGUUGCUCGAGUGGCGAACGGGUUAGUAACACGUGAGUAACCUGCCCUUGACUUUGGGAUAACUUCAGGAAACUGGGGCUAAUACCGGAUAGGAGCUCCUGCUGCAUGGUGGGGGUUGGAAAGUUUCGGCGGUUGGGGAUGGACUCGCGGCUUAUCAGCUUGUUGGUGGGGUAGUGGCUUACCAAGGCUUUGACGGGUAGCCGGCCUGAGAGGGCGACCGGCCACAUUGGGACUGAGAUACGGCCCAGACUCCUACGGGAGGCAGCAGUGGGGAAUAUUGCACCAUGGGCGGAAGCCUGAUGCAGCAACGCCGCGUGCGGGAUGACGGCCUUCGGGUUGUAAACCGCUUUCGCCUGUGACGAAGCGUGAGUGACGGUAAUGGGUAAAGAAGCACCGGCUAACUACGUG
rnacentral:rRNA from 1 species